UACGUAGGGGGCAAGCGUUGUCCGGAAUCAUUGGGCGUAAAGAGCGUGUAGGCGGCCAGAAAAGUCCGCUGUGAAAACUCGAGGCUCAACUUCGAGCUGUCGGUGGAAACUUUCUGGCUAGAGUCCGGAAGAGGAGAAUGGAAUUCCUGGUGUAGCGGUGAAAUGCGCAGAUAUCAGGAAGAACACCCGUGGCGAAGGCGGUUCUCUGGGACGGUACUGACGCUGAGACACGAAGACGUGGGGAGCGAACAGG
rnacentral:rRNA from 1 species